rnacentral:lncRNA from 1 species
GCAUUCAAUUAAAAAUGCUUGGAACCUCUUUUGCAGUUUUGUUGAUUAUGGUUGAAAUCGUCAGUCGACUCCUUGUUGGAGUUCUUGUCCUUUGAUAAUUAUUUGUACCAUUUUUUGUGUUUUAACCUUAGAACAAGACAGUUUUUGCGUUUUUGUUGUUGGCCUUCUUGUGUUAUUCCGCUGUUAACCUUUUCAGAUUCAAUAAACCUUAUUGACAUAUAUAUUUAUCAAAUAAUCAAGC